AUUUCCAUGUGGCACAGGCAUGAGCUGGGAUCUGGCUGGCCUGACAAGGGACUCAGUGUAGCUGGUGAACCAGAAAUAAUGAUGGUGGAUCAAAAAGUCUGGGAGGCGGAGGUUGCAGUGAGCCAAGAUCAUGCUACUGCACUCCAGCCUGAGUGACAGAGCCAGACACAGUCUCAGAACAAACAAACAAACAAACAAACAAAAAACAGGUCUGUAUUGGUACCAGCAAGCCACACCAGGAUCAUGAACUGCCAGCUGUAUGGACUGCUGGGCAAUUGGAGAUGGUUGGCAGCAUCAAACAUGGAGAGCCCGUGUUGAGAUGGUGGAACUACAAGAUGAAAGCAGCCUGAAUCUCUGGUUCAACUGAUAGCAGAGAGCCUAUGCCAACCCAUGUCUGUUUUUUUCAUGUGCAAAAUAAAUAAAUAUUUAUUGUUAUAAGCCAUUCAGAUUUCAAAUUUUCUCUGUUUCAUCAGCUAGGAGGAACUACAUGACUGAUCCCCAGCUACCAUUUCUGUUGUUAGGUUUAUUUAAAUAUUUUAAUUAUAAAAAUAAUAUUACAAAGAUUCUUUCUCAAAAAAAUCUAACAAUACAGAUAAACCACAUUCCACAGUGUUUCUUCAAAAUUCAACACUUUUAAACACAUAACCAUGAUUAACAGUCUGAUGUUUAAGCUGAUCCUACUUGUUUUAACCUAUAUAAAUGUGUUUAAUAAACAUAUAUUAUGAUUUUAUGUGUGUAUAUAUAUAAAUAUAAAUAUUUAAAGUAUACAAUAUGGCCAGGUGCAGUGGCUCAUGCCUGUAAUCCCAGCACUUUGGGAGCCCGAGGUGGAGGGGUCACGAGGUCAGGAGUUCGAGACCAGCCUGGCCAACAUGGUGAAGCCCUGUGUCUACUAAAACUACAAAAAUUAGCUGGGCGUGGUGGUGUGCGCCUGUAGUCCCAGCUACUCAGGAGGCUGAGGCAGGAGAAUUGCUUGAACCCGGGAAGUGGAGGUUGCAGUGAGCUGAGAUGGGGCCACUGCACCUCAGCCUGGGUGACAGAGCAAGACUCUGUCUCAAAAAUAAAAUAAAAUAAAAUAAAAUAAAACAAAUAAAUAAAGUAUACAAUGUGACAUUUUGAUAAACAUGUAUAAUAAAAUGAUUCCUGUAGUCAAGCAAAUUAAUGUAUUCUGCCUCACGUAUUUACCAUUUUGUGUGUGAUAAGAGCACUAAAAAUCUACUCUUGCGAAAUUUCCAUUAUACGAUAAAAUAUUAUUGACUAUAGUCAUCAUCCUGUACAUUACAUCUCUAGAUUUAUUCAUCCCACAUAACUGCAACUUUGUACUGUUUAACCUACAUUUCCCCAGUCCUCUCAUUGCAAUAUUUUAAAACACACAAUGAGAAGUGAUGUACCUAUUCUUCUCCCAUUUGCCUUUAAUAAGUAUUAUAAAUUAACUAAUAGUAAAUGACAUAAAUAUAAAUUUUUGAUUUAAUUAAUAAACUAACCUUUUGACUAAUGAAUGAAUGAAUGAAUGAAUGAUUUUUCCAUAACAAGGUCAUACAGAUUUACUUUUGUAUUACUAUUGGGAUUCCAAUAUGUGUGCCAUGAUUUAACCAUUUUUCCACUGAUGAACACAUAAUUGUUUCCCAAUUUAUAUUGUAAUAAAUGGAACUAAAUAAACAUUUU
rnacentral:lncRNA from 1 species